rnacentral:lncRNA from 1 species
AGCCGGCUAGGCAUGCCACUUUAGGUGUGGACACUCUUGAGGAGAUGGCUUUUGGAUGACCUAAGUUUAAUGUGGAGAUUCAUCUUGAAUCACCAAGCUUGAUUUUUAAUGUAUUGAUUUCAUUGAUUUACUGUGGACCUAAUUACCUAACUGAUUACGGCUAUUUAAUUAAUUGUUAACAUCUGGACUUUAAAUAAAUAAUAUCGGACCUCUCUU